AGAUGGCGUAGGUCACUGAUGAGGCAAGUGACCGAGGUGAGCUCAUGAAGACAAAGCGGCACAAAUAAACUUCUGACAAACUCAUUGGAAUGGGCGCCUCCCCAAAACUUCGCCGUGAUCCGCCACAACCGGCAACGGCGAGGCCAGAGGUGACCGUAUCCGGCACAGGUUGCCAUGGCACGGACGGCGACGAUGACAGGAGGGGCGCGCACAUCCAUGGGACGGGACGCCGCCAUAGAGAUGGAGCUCCUUCACAUCACGCAGAGGCCCCAUGGAGCCCCCCUCCUUCUCCGAAUUGAGUGUGUAUGAACAAAGCAAUAGAGGUUGUGUUAAUUCCUAGAGCCUAAUAUGUUCUUUUGUCUCCUGGUGAUUAGUUCGAAUGGCCGUGUGAGUUUCGCCGGCCUGUCUCGGCUCAUGUUAGGCACCAUGUCAUGGUGUCUAACUAUUUAUGCACAACAUGGUGACAUGGUGUUUAUAGCCUGUUGGGGCGCCUGCGGCUGCAGCCGCGUGGCAAUUAAUUAAUUCUUAUUCAACGUAAUUUACUUCUCCCCCUUUAUGUAUCAUGGAUGGAUAUACAUGGUGGUUGGCUGUUAUUAUCGAAGCAAGAGUCACUGAUGAUGACUACAUUUGAGCUGGUUUGCUGCUUACAAAUCGAUAUCAAUGGUCCAUGUCACAAUAAACAAGUGAUUCGUACUUAAACAUGACAUGGGGAACCUUGGAUACACCAUUCAGGACAGGGAUAUACUCGAUCUGAGAGAACAUGGGCUUCUUACCUCCAUCUUUUGUACCCAGUUUACUAGAUAUUAGAAAACAGUGGGUAUUUAAAAAAAUUGUUACAGAAGUGCCUUGAAUACAUUCAGCAUAAAUGGGAUGACCAGGACAUAUAUGAAUCGGAUUUCUUAUUAACUAUACUUGGAAAACGAUGAUGUGAUGAAGAUAUGUCUGCACAUGAAUACGACGGUUAUAGAUUUCA